GAUGAACGCUGGCGGCGUGCCUAAUACAUGCAAGUCGAGCGAACAGACGAGGAGCUUGCUCCUCUGACGUUAGCGGCGGACGGGUGAGUAACACGUGGAUACCCUACCUAUAAGACUGGGAUAACUUCGGGAAACCGGAGCUAAUACCGGAUAAUAUAUUGAACCGCAUGGUUCAAUAGUGAGAGACGGUUUUGCUGUCACUUAUAGAUGGAUCCGCGCCGCAUUAGCUAGUUGGUAAGGUAACGGCUUACCAAGGCGACGAUGCGUAGCCGACCUGAGAGGGUGAUCGGCCACACUGGAACGGAGACACGGUCCAGACUCCUACGGGAGGCAGCAGUAGGGAAUCGGCCGCAAUGGGCGAAAGCCUGACGGAGCAACGCCGCGUGAGUGAUGAAGGUCUUCGGAGCGUAAAACUCGGUUAUUAGGGAAGAACAAAUGUGUAAGUAACUAUGCACGUCUUGACGGUACCUAAUCAGAAAGCCACGGCUAACUACGUG
rnacentral:rRNA from 1 species